rnacentral:misc_RNA from 1 species
GAUGAAGAACGCAGCGAAAUGCGAUAAGUAGUGUGAAUUGCAGAAUUCCGUGAAUCAUCGAAUCUUUGAACGCACAUUGCGCCUCCUGGUAGUCCGGGAGGCAUGCCUGUUCGAGCGUCACCAAAUCCAACUCAAGCGGUUUUGCGCUUGGUCGUGGCGGAAGAGUCGGUCUGGUUGCCGUCUCCCCUCCGAAAAUCAACGGCGGAAAGUCACUGGCAGUCAGCGUAGUAGUAUCGUUCGCCGAACAUCCAGUGGCAUUCCUGCCGACGUACCCCCACAAUUCUCGUGAUUGACCUCGGAUCAGGUAGGGAUACCCGCUGAACUUAAGCAUAUCAAUAAGCGGAGG